UGCCAGCCGCCGCGGUAAUACGGAGGGUGCAAGCGUUGUUCGGAAUUAUUGGGCGUAAAGCGCGUGUAGGCGGCUUGGUAAGUCGGAUGUGAAAGCCCCGGGCUCAACCCGGGAACUGCAUUCGAAACUGCCUCGCUUGAGUUCGGGAGAGGGUGGUGGAAUUCCUGGUGUAGAGGUGAAAUUCGUUGAUAUCAGGAGGAACACCGGCGGCGAAGGCGGCCACCUGGCCCGAUACUGACGCUCAUGUGCGAAAGCGUGGGGAGCAAACAGGAUUAGAUA
rnacentral:rRNA from 1 species